rnacentral:rRNA from 1 species
UACAGAGGUCCCGAGCGUUGUUCGGAUUCAUUGGGCGUAAAGGGUGCGUAGGCGGCGGGGCAAGUCUGAUGUGAAAUCCUGGGGCUCAACCCCAGAACUGCAUUGGAUACUGCCUUGCUAGAGUACUGGAGAGGGAACUGGAAUUUACGGUGUAGCAGUGAAAUGCGUAGAGAUCGUAAGGAAGGCCAGUGGCGAAGGCGAGUUCCUGGACAGUUACUGACGCUGAGGCACGAAGGCCAGGGGAGCAAACGGG